rnacentral:rRNA from 1 species
UACGGAGGGUGCAAGCGUUAAUCGGAAUUACUGGGCGUAAAGCGUGCGUAGGCGGUUCGUUAAGUCUGUUGUGAAAGCCCCGGGCUCAACCUGGGAAUGGCAAUGGAUACUGGCGAGCUAGAGUGUGUCAGAGGAUGGUGGAAUUCCCGGUGUAGCGGGUGAAAAUGCGUAGAGAUCGGGAGGAACAUCAGUGGCGGAAGGCGCCAUCUGGGGACAACACUGACGCUGAGGCACGAAAGCGUGGGGAGCAA